GAUGAAGAACGUAGCGAAAUGCGAUAAGUAGUGUGAAUUGCAGAAUUCAGUGAUUCAUCGAAUCUUUGAACGCACAUUGCGCCCCUUGGUAUUCCAUGGGGCAUGCCUGUUCGAGCGUCAUUUGUACCUUCAAGCUCUGCUUGGUGUUGGGUGUUUGUCUCGCCUCUGCGUGUAGACUCGCCUUAAAACAAUUGGCAGCCGGCGUAUUGAUUUCGGAGCGCAGUACAUCUCGCGCUUUGCACUCAUAACGACGACGUCCAAAAGUACAUUUUUACACUCUUGACCUCGGAUCAGGUAGGGAUACCCGCUGAACUUAAGCAUAUCAAUAAGCGGAGGA
rnacentral:misc_RNA from 1 species